UGUGUGCUAAUACCGGAUGUGCCGCAAGGUGAAAGAGAAAUCGCCCGAGAAUGAGCUCGCGUCUGAUUAGCUAGUUGGUGGGGUAAGAGCCCACCAAGGCGACGAUCAGUAGCUGGUCUGAGAGGACGAUCAGCCACACUGGGACUGAGACACGGCCCAGACUCCUACGGGAGGCAGCAGUGGGGAAUUUUCCGCAAUGGGCGAAAGCCUGACGGAGCAAUACCGCGUGAGGGAGGAAGGCUCUUGGGUUGUAAACCUCUUUUCUCAGGGAAGAAACAAAUGACGGUACCUGAGGAAUCAGCAUCGGCUAACUCCGUGCCAGCAGCCGCGGUAAUACGGAGGAUGCAAGCGUUAUCCGGAAUAAUUGGGCGUAAAGCGUUCGCAGGUGGCAAUUCAAGUCUGCUGUCAAAGGUCAGGGCUCAACCCUGAACAGGCAGUGGAAACUGAUCAGCUAGAGUGCGGUAGGGGUAGAGGGAAUUCCCGGUGUAGCGGUGAAAUGCGUAGAGAUCGGGAAGAACACCAGUGGCGAAAGCGCUCUACUAGGCCUGCACUGACUCUCAGGGACGAAAGCUAGGGGAGC
rnacentral:rRNA from 1 species